AUUCAACCCCAAACCCAGCAAGUACAUGGACCUCGACCAGCUACAGCACCAGGCUGUACUCAGACCCCUGCAUGAGGCUAACGCACAUAGCGGAUUGGCUGUAGCUGCGUGCAUGAGGAGCACUGGCGGCCCAAUCAAACGCAGGCAGGAACAGGAGGCGGGACGGGAGACGGGAGGCGCCCGCCCACAGUGUCCUCGCAGUGAACAGCCUGGCGCGGUCCAAAUACUGCUGACGCCCAAUAAGGACGAAGAAGAGGCCCAGGCCACGGGCAGUCAGG
rnacentral:lncRNA from 1 species